CAGGCACCCGCCCGCCCUGUCCCCACUCCCCACCCCUCCAUGCAGCCAGCGUCCAAUGCUGGGCACGCCCCGAGGCUCCCCCUGCCAAUCCCAGAGCUUCCCUUUUGCGCCCGGACCCAGGGGCAGGGAAAGCCCAGCUCGUGGUCUGUGGGUAGCUGGAUCUCCGAUGGGGCGGGGGCCUCGCCUUGACUCCCAGAGCUGGGGCGGGGGACGGGAGCUGGGGCAGGAGGGAUGCGCGCGGGUCAGGGCCUUCCCACCUCUCCCGCUCCUCUCCAGCGCGCGAUCCCGGGGUGGUUCCAGGGAAGGUACACCCGGGGAUGGAAGUGCUUGGACGCGGUGCUGCUGGCUGCGGAUGUGCAUGAGGAGAUGGGACGGAGAGCCCAAGUUGGCAUUCGUAUAAAUGCCCUGCCUGGCUCCCACCAUGAGCGCUGAGCUCAACGUGCCUGUCGACCCCUCUACUCCUGCCUGCCCGGAGCCCGGCCACAAGGGCAUGGAUUACCGGGACUGGGUCCGCCGCAGCUACCUGGAACUGGUCACCUCCAACCACCACUCGGUACAGGCCCUGUCGUGGCGGAAGCUCUACCUGAGCAGGGCCAAGCUGAAGGCCUCCAGCAGGACCUCCGCCCUCCUUUCCGGCUUCGCCAUGUAUUUCUGACCCGCGGUGGAUUGAAUCUGCAGAUGUGGAACUCAGAGAUACAGAGCGCCAGCUGCAGUGGGAAGCAAAUUAACCGUCUGGCGUGGAGCUGAGACUCGGGCGGAGCCACAGUGCACCUGCUUGAUUAGAUUAGCAUAGCGUCAAUUGGUCAGCUCAUUCUUCAGACUGCAGGGCAGCUUGGGAAAAAUAAGUGACAAGUACAAAUCAUCAGAAACUGUAGCUGAGUUGGGGCAGGGCCCUGGGAACAGGCAGAGGUACAGAUUGCUAGGUAGAGUUCGCCCUUUAUAGUGUGUCUUCCCUCAUUAGAAUUGCAAAGCUGUUCCUUUGUCUAGCAACACGUGCUUAUGCCUAACCUGAAGCUUAUUUCUUGAUGCGUAUUCUUCCCCCAACACAGAGAACCAGUGAUCUGAGGCCCGCCUCAUAAAACCUCUACACAGGCCAGGCGUGGUGGUUCACUGUAAUCCCAGCACUUUGGGAGACUGAGGCGGGUGGAUCACUUGAGGUCAGGAGUUCCAGAUCAGCCUGGCCAACAUGGGGAA